CGGGGGCGGCACCGGUCUAAGUCUCUUGGAACGGGGCGUCAUAGAGGGUGAGAAUCCCGUAUGUGACCGGCGAUCAACCCCCAUGUGAAGCUCCUUCGACGAGUCGAGUUGUUUGGGAAUGCAGCUCAAAAUGGGUGGUAUAUUUCAUCUAAAGCUAAAUACCGGCCAGAGACCGAUAGCGCACAAGUAGAGUGAUCGAAAGAUGAAAAGCACUUUGGAAAGAGAGUCAAAAAGUACGUGAAAUUGUUGAAAGGGAAGCGCUCGCAACCAGACCUGCCCGCGGCCGAUCAACCGUCCUUCUGGGCGGUGCACUCGACCGUGAUCAGGCCAGCAUCGGUUCGGGCGGCCGGUUAAAGGCCCUGGGAACGUAGCUCCUUCCGGGGAGUGUUAUAGCCCUCGGUGUAAUGCGGCCCGCCUGGACCGAGGACCGCGCUUCGGCUAGGAUGCUGGCGUAAUGGUUGUGAGCGGCCCGUCUUGAAACACGGACCAAGGAGUCUAACAUCUAUGCGAGUGUUUGGGUGUCAAACCCAUGCGCGUAAUGAAAGUGAACGGAGGUGGGAACCCAAUCGGGCGCACCAUCGACCGAUCCAGAUGUCUUCGGAUGGAUUUGAGUACGAGCAUAGCUGUUGGGACCCGAAAGAUGGUGAACUAUGCCUGAAUAGGGUGAAGCCAGAGGAAACUCUGGUGGAGGCUCGCAGCGGUUCUGACGUGCAAAUCGAUCGUCAAAUUUGGGUAUAGGGGCGAAAGACUAAUCGAACCAUC
rnacentral:rRNA from 1 species